AAGUGUUCGUGCGCCUAAGCUUUAAAACGGGACCACAAGAUCCAGAACUUCCUUUUCCUUAUUUGCGUUGCGAGUAUGGAGCCACCUUGUGCAAGUUACAUCGUUGAACAAUGGACACCACCAUGAAUCUGACACCAUAUGACACCAACUUCAUAGUGAUUUUGUGGAAGUCCCUUGCGUAGUUGAACAAUGGAAACGACCAUGAAUCUGACGCCCACCAACCAGGUGGUGAGUGUGUGUACUUUUGUUCCCCUGACCUGAAACUGAAGUCUGAAAUCGAAUGGCAGCUGCCUCCUUGAAUAAAUGUUUAAUUACUGGUCUGUACUUCACUUGGCACUGCAGGGUAGGUAACCUUCAGGAGGUAAAUGGGCGAGAGCUUUCGCCAUGCACAUUUUGUAUAUUUAUUGCUGAAAGGCUGCAGUGACACAGGCACAUUCAGGUAAAGUACUACGUAAUUUCACAUGAGGGCUGUGGUGGAGUCUGGGGUGUACAUCUAAAGGGGACGUUCUAUUGAAACGUUACCUUACAAUAUGCUCAGAAAUAUUUUGUGAUGCUCUGCCUUUUGCCCGUCCCCAAUUUUAAGCCUUUGCUUUUGUCAAAUUUCAAAUCCAUUAAAAGCUGAUUGUCUUUAAA